rnacentral:rRNA from 1 species
UGAGGGAGGAAGGCUCUUGGGUUGUAAACCUCUUUUCUCAAGGAAUAAGUUCUGAAGGUACUUGAGGAAUAAGCAUCGGCUAACUCCGUGCCAGCAGCCGCGGUAAUACGGAGGAUGCAAGCGUUAUCCGGAAUGAUUGGGCGUAAAGGGUCCGCAGGUGGCAAUGUGUGUCUGCUGUCAAAGAAUGAGGCUUAACCUCAUCAAGGCAGUGGAAACUACAUAGCUAGAGUACGGUCGGGGUAGAAGGAAUUCCUGGUGUAGCGGUGAAAUGCGUAGAGAUCAGGAAGAACACCGGUGGCGAAAGCGUUCUGCUAGACCUGUACUGACACUGAGGGACGAAAGCUAGGGGAGCGAAUGGGAUUAGAUACCCCAGUAGUCCUAGCCGUAAACGAUGGAUACUAGGCGUGGCUUGUAUCGACCCGAGCCGUGCCGGAGCCAACGCGUUAAGUAUCCCGCCUGGGGAGUACGCACGCAAGUGUGAAACUCAAAGGAAUUGACGGGGGCCCGCACAAGCGGUGGAGUAUGUGGUUUAAUUCGAUGCAACGCGAAGAACCUUACCAAGACUUGACAUGUCGCGAAUCCUCUUGAAAGAGAGGAGUGCCUUCGGGAGCGCGAACACAGGUGGUGCAUG